CUAGAUAAAAUUUUAGGGGGUUGUUAAAGAAGGUAAAGUAACUUACCGUGUGAUUUUGCAGCGUUCUGGGGUGUACGGAAAGGGUUGAAAAAGGUUUUUUGUUAAUAACAUUGCGUAAAAAAUUAGUAACACGCUGCAAAUUUGGAAUUAGGUUGUUCUUACCGUUUUGUAAUGUGUAUUAAAUUUGCAGCGUUUUGCAAUACACGGAACAUUGUUUAUUAUUAAAAAACAAUAAAAUUUGUUAA